rnacentral:rRNA from 1 species
GAUGAACGCUGGCGGCGUGCCUAACACAUGCAAGUCGAGGGGAAACGACAUCGAAAGCUUGCUUUUGGUGGGCGUCGACCGGCGCACGGGUGAGUAACGCGUAUCCAACCUGCCCACCACUUGGGGAUAACCUUGCGAAAGUAAGACUAAUACCCAAUGAUAUCCCACGAAGGCAUCCGAAUGGGAUUAAAGAUUUAUCGGUGAUGGAUGGGGAUGCGUCUGAUUAGCUUGUUGGCGGGGUAACGGCCCACCAAGGCAACGAUCAGUAGGGGUUCUGAGAGGAAGGUCCCCCACAUUGGAACUGAGACACGGUCCAAACUCCUACGGGAGGCAGCAGUGAGGAAUAUUGGUCAAUGGGCGAGAGCCUGAACCAGCCAAGUAGCGUGCAGGAUGACGGCCCUAUGGGUUGUAAACUGCUUUUAUAAGGGAAUAAAGUGAGUCUCGUGAGACUUUUGCAUGUACCUUAUGAAUAAGGACCGGCUAAUUCCGUG